GAGCACGUAGGUGGGUUUGUAAGUCAGAUGUGAAGGCCUUCUGUUCAACGGAAGAAUUGCAUCUGAAACUGCGAGUCUUGAGUGUAGGAGGGGAGAAUGGAACUUCUGGUGGAGCGGUGAAAUGCGUAGAUAUCAGAAGGAACUCCGGCGGCGAAAGCGAUUCUCUGGCCUAUUACUGACACUCAGUGCGCGAAAGCUAGGGGAGCAAACGGGAUUAGAUACCCCGGUAGUCCUAGCCGUAAACGAUGGGCACUAAGUAGAGGGGUUUU
rnacentral:rRNA from 1 species